CCUACGGGUGGCUGCAGUGGGGAAUAUUGCACAAUGGGCGCAAGCCUGAUGCAGCCAUGCCGCGUGUGUGAAGAAGGCCUUCGGGUUGUAAAGCACUUUCAGCGGGGAGGAAGGCGUUAAGGUUAAUAACCUUGUCGAUUGACGUUACCCGCAGAAGAAGCACCGGCUAACUCCGUGCCAGCAGCCGCGGUAAUACGGAGGGUGCAAGCGUUAAUCGGAAUUACUGGGCGUAAAGCGCACGCAGGCGGUCUGUCAAGUCGGAUGUGAAAUCCCCGGGCUCAACCUGGGAACUGCAUUCGAAACUGGCAGGCUAGAGUCUUGUAGAGGGGGGUAGAAUUCCAGGUGUAGCGGUGAAAUGCGUAGAGAUCUGGAGGAAUACCGGUGGCGAAGGCGGCCCCCUAGACAAAGACUGACGCUCAGGUGCGAAAGCGUGGGGAGCAAACAGGAUUAGAUACCCUUGUAGUC
rnacentral:rRNA from 1 species